GGGGGGGGGGGGGGGGCUGGAAUCUAUCCCAGCCAACUUCGGCCGAUAGACGGGGUACACCCUGGACUGGUCACCAGCCAAUCGCAGGGCUCGUACGAAAACCCAUGGUUAUAAUAAUACAAUUAUGCAGUGUCAUAAAUACAUCUCUGUAUAGGGUGGGGAUUUCAACAUGCAGCAUUUCUUGAUGUAUAUUUGUAAAGGGACAAACCGUACCUAUUUUAGAACAUUAUUCUAUUUUUUUAAAUAUAACAUAAUUAAUCAUAGUAUGUAUGCAUUCUCAUAACUACAUCUCUGACGUUUAUAACAAACCAAACCGUUUAAAAAUCAGAAAACAUUGAGCUAUGUUAUUAUUAUUAACAGUACAUGUACCACUAUCGACACAAAAUGAUGGGUGAGCGAGCGCACCGUACCAAGAUGGCCGCCAUGUGCGGACGUUCGGCUCCGUUGGGCGGGCAACGCGGAGGAGACAUCUAGUCUUGAUGUAUAUCUAUGGUCUGCACAGGACUGCACACGGCAACUAAAACCAUUAAAGUCUUCAGCGAGUCGUGAAUACUUCGUUCAACUUAAAUAUUUAUCGGUUUUAUGUUUAAGGUAAAUUCCUAAGUCUGCAAACAGCACCAAAGCUAAAAUGAUGUAAAGUUGAGUUUGAUUUGAAAGUUAAUUCCAGUACUGCAAUUUACAAUUCUCUAGUAUUUCCAUAUUAUGCCGCUUUGUAUUUUGAUUGAUAUGUAUAGAUAUACAUAUAUCUAUAUAGAUAUAUAUAUUAUUUUUUUAUAUAUAUAAUACUUACAUUACUACAGUUUUAUUACAUUUUGUAAUCCUAAAAAAGUAAAUUUACUUGUUGAUAAAAGUUGAUUCAAAGACAAAACUUUUUUUAAGGCUGGUUAUGAAGCCACGAACCCCCUGCCAACCCCAAACAAAAAACAAACUAUUUCUUCCUUAAAAAUAUUUUUUUUAGAUUACGCUACCAGUAUAUUAAAUUGAAACUAAUCAUAGCCAGUCAGUGCUAAUCUAGUCUUAUAAUUUUCUUCUUAUAUGAAGGCUAAGUAAAAAUGUAGAAAACAUAAGAUCACAAUAGACCUCUCUUGCAAAUAUACAAUGCUAAAUAUAUUGGAUAAUCCUGACCACCCCCUCCACCACCUGCUACAGGGACAGCGGAGCACGUUCUCCAACAGACUCCUUCAGCUCCGCUGUCACAAGGACCGAUACAGGAGAUCAUUCCUGCCCAGUGCAAUAACACUUUACAAUAAAUCAUCUCUGGCCAAAUAAUGACAAUAACAACCCUGUGCUCGUCCUCUUCCUCUUCUCCUUUUACAAAUUAUUAUUAUUGUCUCUUUUGGAAGGUUAUUCUUUUGUUUCAGUUGUAGUUUAUUUAACUUAAUUUAAUUUAAGAAUUUAAUAUUUCUAUCUUAUUAUAUUGUCUAUAGUGUGUAUCUUUUUAUUCUAUUUUCUUCCCUGUACAUGCUGCUGUGAUACCAAAAUGUUCCUCUUGAGGGAUCAAUAAAGUUUCAAUUGUCAGGAUCACCGAUCCCCCCGAGUUGGUUGAUGACAAGAAUCGCAGCCCGUUGAUCAAUUAAAGUCAAAAAGUUAACAUUUAUUUAGAAGAGAAAAAGAUUACAUGAGCAAUUCUUCGCAGAUAUCUGGCUCUAACUAUUGCAUAGGCAGGAGGUCAAACACUCCGCGCGCGCGGAAACGCCGGAGAACUUUAAAUCGCUAAACGGAACAUGGAGUUCGGCGUGUCGCUGCGCGGCGCGUAUUAGGGGGGGCGACAUCCUGUUCGCGUUGAGCCGCAUCAUCAAAACUUAGGAUCACCGGCUUCGAGGAAGUGCAGCAACAGUCUAUUAAAACACAUUUAUUAUUUUUUAAACUCGGCCCUGCAUCCGUACUGUCCCGUGCUUUCAGCAGCACCGUGUUGGCCAAGAUAUUCUCCAGCUCCAUGUCGAUGUCCGCCCGGGGUCCGCAGGCUUCUUGACUGCGUUCGCUCCACCGGGGCAACGCUGAUGCUGUCUGGGGAGAGUCGUGACAGGGUGUCACGUGGGUGCCCUCUAUUGGGUCCCUGCGGACGUGGGUGCGACACCCUGUAGCUAAGAAGUUAGUCUGCUGCAGGGUGUGUAACCGGUAAGUUGGCUGUAGAAAGUCCCCUAAUGCUAAAUUCAACUAGCUCAUGUGUUUCAUUCUGUUUGGCAGUUAUGAUGCCACGAGGUUCCUUCUGAGGACGUUAACUUAUGUGUGUUCGCCAGGUGUCUUAACGUCACACAAUAAACGGCCGAUCCGAGCCGAAUGUGGUCCGUGCCCUGGUGGUGAUUUUAACAACACAACGCAAGAAAGAGUACAACCGCUACAUAAACAGCACCUAACAGGACACCCUGACCUUAGCACUGUGAACCAAUGUUAUUACUAAAUACUACUUGAAUGAAUGGACGAUAAUACAACACAGCGACAAUACAAAAGAGCUUUAAAAGAUUGUUGCAUGCACGGUAAUGUGGAAACAUUUAGUAUGCCUGAGACCAAUUGUGUAUUAAGAUAAAGAAUCAAAUUGAAUCAGCCACAUUCGACUCAUAUGAGCAUCAAGAUAAUCAUUCAAUAGGUCCGGAAAGUAACUUCCCCAGUUGUAAAAUCGAAUUGGGCGUUAAUUUGGGAGUUUUUCUGUUUAUAAAUUAGCUUUAUCUAAUCAAUUGUCCCUUUAUAAUGUGAUAUAUCCCAACAGACAACAAUUAUGUUUCAGAGGUCAGAGCACAAUUCUGAUAAUAACUGUGAAUUCCUUUUUUAUUUAUUUGUUGGGGUUAUAACAAGUCAAAGUUGAAUAUAAUUGUGUUUAUUCUCAAGUAAACCUGCCAUGUAUAAUUCAUGUUUUUUUUUACAGUCCAAAGACAUGCUCUGGGGAUCAGGUUAAUUGGGGACUUUAAAUUGCCCGUAGAUGUGUGGAUGUGAGUGUGAAUGGUUGUGUGUCUUGUGUGUCUCUUUGUAGCCCUGCGAUUGGCUGGCGACCAAUCCAGGAUGUAUCCGGUCUAUCGCCCAAAGUUGGCUGGGAUGGACUCCGGCCCCCCUGCGACUGUGUGUGCAGGAUAAGCGGUUUGACAAUGGAUGGAUGGAUAUAUUAUGUUAUAUCAGUGUUUCCCCUACGUUCCCAACUAUGGGGGGGCGGACGUACCGGAGGGGGGUCGUGGGUGUUGGGGCGCGCCGGGUGAUACAAUUGUAGGGAAAACACUGUAUAUCAUAUUAAGUUAUAUAAUAUUAGAAAUAAAGGUGUAAUGCCAUGUCUCCUAUAUUGGUUCUACUAUAUUAUGUCAUAUCAGUGUUUCCCCCCUGUUACCAACUAUGGGGGGGCGGACGUACCGGAGGGGGGUCGUGGGUGUUGGGGCGCGCCGGGUGAUACAAUGGUAGGGAAAACACUGUAUAUGGUAUUAAGUUAUAUAAUAUUUGAAAUACUAAGUAUGAUGACAUGUUUGUUAUAUUACUCCUACAUAAUGCUAUAUGUGUCACGGUGUGGUUCACUUCAUGUUAUAUUUUGUAUUUUCUGCCACUUGUGUCCCCGGGUAACUUCACUUCCUGCCUUGUCCCGUCAUCCCCUGUGAUCGUCUUAAUAGUUUCCACCUGUGUCCAAUCACCUGCACCUACCUUGUGUAUUUAAGCCGUGUGUCUCUUGUGUCACUUGUCGCGUCAUUGUCUUUUGCCACGCAUGUUCUUGUCUCCUGUUGUGGAUCUCCGUAGGUUCAUGCCUGUGUGUUUUUGCCCCUUGGCCUUUUGGAUUUUGUAUCUGGUGACUAUUAAAGUCUUUUGUUUCGGAGAAGUCUGCAUCUGAGUCCUGCCUUCCCCCCCACCCCUGACAAUAUGAUAUUAGUCCUAUAUUAUUUUGUUAUUAUCUAUGAUAUUACAAAUACGAAGUAGCAUAAUAUGUUAUGUAUAUUGGCAUGGCAUUAUUGAAACUAUAGAGGGGGACAUGUGUGUCUACCUUGCCUAAUGCAUAACUUGAAAAAUCAAA
ensembl:lncRNA